AUGCGUGCUGGACUGGUCCUAGUCCUGCUGACACGUCUAGUCGGGACCGUGAGAUUUCAGCCUCCUGCACCCAAAGUGGUCACCAAGGAGUCUCGGGUGGAUUUCCACUGCAGUCACGACGACGGCCGGCAGGACGUGAUGCUGUGGUACCACCAGGGCGGAGGCGGGCGCCCCAUCACCGUAGUAGGCUCCAGCUAUGUGGGCAACAAGCCUCAGCACGGCCGGCGCUUCAGCAUCACCAGAGAGGCCACGCAGAGAGGAGUUCUCAGCAUUCACAGAGUCGCUGCGUCGGAUGCAGAACCGGGCCAAGGUGUCAGGCCGCCUGCAGUCACCUUGCUCCCGCCCUCUCCCGAGGAGGACUCCGACCACAGGAACAAGGAGAAGAGGACCAAGACUCUGGUCUGCGUGGUCACUGGCUUCUUCCCCGACCACGUGGGUGUCUCGUGGCAGAUCGACGGCGGCGGCGUCACCAGUGGCGUGGCGACGGACGCCGAGGCCCUGCGGGACCACGCCCACUACAGGACCAGCAGCAGGCUGAGGGUGGAUGCGGACACCUGGUUCACACCUGGCAGAGCCUUCGAGUGCACCGUCACUUUCUUUGACGGGAACCGGACCAGCUCUCAUUCGGACACGGUUUACGGCACCGAGGACACGAUGACCAGAGAGGACUACUUGAGGAUGUGUCACAGUGCCAAGAUGUCCUACAUGGUCCUCCUGGUCAAGAGCAACAUCUACUCACUUCUUCUCCUCGUCCUACUGUGGAAGCACCAGGCAGAAAGAAGGCGGAGUCUCAUGCAGUGACAGACAGAGAUGUGGGCGUGGCUUUGCAGCUGAGAGGCAUCGGAUUGGUGGAAUAUUGACAUCCUAUGAAUAUUCAUCGUUACACUUGGAGAGAGAUUUAGUGCACACAGUUUAGAUUUAUAAAUUGAAGAUUUAGAUAUAGAUUUAACAUUUUAAGUUUAGAUUUGGAUUCAACAUUUAACAUUUAACGCUCACAUUCAGAUUCAAGAGAUAGAUUUAAAAUCUAGGUUUAGAUUAUAGGUUCACAGACGGACCAGACCUCGGCACCUAGUCCCUCUCUGGUACUGUUUGUACCAGGUUACCCUCUUAGCUCACAGACAUGUUUAUUUGACAUGAAAUAAGGUGUGUACUGUUUGUACCAGGUUACCCUCUUAGCUCACGGACAUGUUUAUUUGACAUGAAAUAAGGUGUGUACUGUUUGUACCAGGUUACCCUCUUAGCUCACGGACAUGUUUAUUUGACAUGAAAUAAGGUGUGUACUGUUUGUACCAGGUUACCCUCUUAGCUCACAGACACAUGUUUAUUUGACAUGAAGUAAGGAGUUGGGGUUCCCCAAGGCUCAAUUUUAGGUCCCAUUAUUUUUGACUUUUAUAUUCAUAUUACGAGGAGACCGUCAAUGAAUAUAAUCUUUCCAAAUGCUCUCUGAAACCCUGCGUGUACUAAAACAUGUGCCAAAGUUGAUGUACUAAGCUGGUGAGUUGAUGUACUAAGCUGGUGAGUUGAUGUACUAAACUGGUGAGUUGAUGUACUAAGCUGGUGAGUUGAUGUACUAAGCUGGUGAGUUGAUGUACUAAGCUGGUGGGUUGAUGUACUAAGCUGGUGAGUUGAUGUACUAAGCUGGUGAGUUGAUGUACUAAGCUGGUGAGUUGAUGUACUAAGCUGGUGGGCAGAGGAUGGCGUCUCUUUAGUGAGCAGAAAUACAGAACAUGUUUGUCCUGCUUGUCUGUAGAACACAUGCAGAUUAUUAGCAAGGUAAAGAAAAGGUACAUCAAUAAUCAGUAUAUAUGAUCAAUACACCAGCGAUUAGAGUAGAUUAGUGAUUCUGGUACGCAGGCUCCAUCUAGUGGCGCACCAAAGAAUCACUUGGCUAAAGUACAGUGUUUUGUUUUCCCAUAUUCAUUCCAGCUGUGUGUAA